rnacentral:rRNA from 1 species
GGUAAUACGUAGGUGGCAAGCGUUGCCCGGAUUUAUUGGGCGUAAAGCGAGCGCAGGCGGUUUCUUAAGUCUGAUGUGAAAGCCCUGGGCUCAACCGAGGAAGGUCAUUGGAAACUGGGAAACUUGAAUGCAGAAGAGGAGAGUGGAAUUCCAUGUGUAGCGGUGAAAUGCGUAGAUAUAUGGAGGAACACCAGUGGCGAAGGCGACUCUCUGGUCCGUAACUGACGCUGAGGCUCGAAAGCGUGGGGAGCAAACAGGAUUAGAUACCCUGGUAGCCACGCCGUAAACGAUGAGGCUAAGUGUUGGAGGCUUCCGCCCUUCAGUGCUGCAGUUAACGCAUUAAGCACUCCGCCUGGGGAGUACGGCCGCAGGCUGAAACUCAAGGAAUUGA